GUUGGAAGUAGUACUGAUCUGUAUUGAGUCUGACAACUGCAGCCCCACAUGACUUAAGGCUAUAGCAACCUGACACUGUAAGAACUCUCCAUCAGCAGCACAGUUUCAUAAAUAAGAGUGUGACUGGCAGGUGGGUCUGCACAGCUGGAGUUCGUUCAAGCCAAUUAGGAGGAGCAUAUAGAGGAGUGGAUUCCCUUAAGCCCCUAUUCCACACAGAUCACAAAUAAUACAAAUCGACAAGAAUUUCCAAAUUUCAGGAUUCUUGGUUGAAAGGAAGAAGCCUUGUUCGAGUCUGCAUUACCCACUCUGGUUUACAGUCUUCUGCCUCAACGCUCACAGAAACUGCUUGUAAUUCUCGCCUCUUUACUCCUUCUGUGAAGUCUCCUUACUGCUCAUCUGGUUGCUCCUCCCUGGACCUGCUGCCUGUACCCCCUCUGACUUACCUACCAUCAUCCACUUGCCUGUCCACCGUCAAUGAUCUUUCGUGCUCUCAUCUCCUAGAACAAGUAGAACAUCAUCGGAACCCACUCUAUUCACAGCAAACCUGCCAACCUCAACCCCUGCAGACAUACUCACCUACUCCCCUGGAUCCUCACCUUCUCCGUCCACAUGCCAUUCUGGAAGAGGCUCCCAAGUUUAGCAGAAACAUCUCCUUUUUCUAUUACAAUAAAUCAUUUAAAAUGGCAUCUGUUGUCCUUAGUUGUUGCCCUCACCAAGGUCUCACUAUGUACCCCAAAAAUUAUGCUGCAGUAGGAAGUAGGAAUUUUGUGACAGAUUCUGAACUAAAAGUGGAGCUUUAUAGUUCAAGGAUCCUAAACAUUUCUCACUCGUUUAAUAGUCCUAGAAUUUUGCUUCAGGCAUCUCUGAUUUUCUACCCUGUUGCAGUUCCUUUUUUCUGUCAUGUUUAAAUUGGACAACAGGGGUUUUGUAUUUGCAGGGGUUAUAUUUACACACAUUGAUCAAAUCCUACAAUCUUGGUGGAAAUGUUUAUUUUGAAAGUACAA